rnacentral:misc_RNA from 1 species
GCCACCUCCCCCUUAAUCUCUUUGUCCCCUCGUUUCCUUUUUCUGGCAAAACGCCACCACAAUCCGCCUCUAUCUUUUCCGUUCUCCUCCCCAUCUCCGACCGACGACCCUCUCUCUCCCCCACUCUUACCGGCGUGAUCCAGCAGAUGUUGGUAGCCAUUGUUUCUCCCUCUUUCCCUCCCUCUUCUCCUGUCCUUUUCGACCCUCUUUUCCUCUUCCCUCGAUCCCUUUCUCUUUCCCCCCUCCUCACUUCCCCUCUCUCUUUCUGACGACCUUCUUUCCUCCCCCUCUCCCAUAUCCCUCGUUCUUUUCUCUUUUCUAGCAGGGACAACAGUAGGCGAGAAGCUGAUGAGGAAACCGCCAG